AGUAGAUCGCAAAAUGGCGGACCGGGUGCACGCGUCUACUACACGCAUGGGGACGACGGGGGAAUUGCGGACACGGGGUAAAUACGGACUAACAUUUAUCUACUCUAUACCUACCGCCCGCGUCCCGCCGCCGCGAUCACGCGUUACGUUCCGCCAUCUUUAGUGCCCACUAAACAUUUCUGACAGACGGCUGCGCACACGUUUCAAGGUAAUUACAAUUUUACAUUUUUUGUGAUUUUGAUGUAAUUUUUAGUAUUAACUAUUUUGAGUGUUAUUCAAAAAGAAUAGGUGUCAGUAAAAAAGUCAUAUUUUCUGUCGUUUGCGAUGUAAAUGACGAGUAAAUAGUACAACCAUUUUCCUUGAUAAAUUUUGUUAACCUAAAAAAAAUUUUGUUGUUCUUUUUCUAACUCGUUUGGGUCAAUUGCGGACAAAUGGCCUGGGGUAAAUACGGACGUCUGUAAUUACCCCAUUAUUUAUCAAAACCUAUUAUUUUUAUAUUAUUUUUUGUAAUUCCCCCAUUAUCUAUCAAAACCUAUAGAAAUGUUUCUAUAUUCCAGAUGCCUCGAAAAUAUAUUAAGAAAAAAGGACCAACUUACACCAUUGAAACUUUACGAAGAGCUGUGCAAGAAAUUAAAGAAAAAAAGACUCCUUUUCGACAGGCGGCAGAGAAGUAUGGCAUUCCCAGAGCGACCCUUUUUGAUCAAGUGAAAAAAGACUGUGUUAGUACCAUGCCAAAAAGAGGAAAGAAAUCAGUUUUUAAUGAAUCUCAAGAAAACGAACUGGUCGAAUUCAUUUUAAAAUCUUGCAAAGCCUUCCUUGGGAUAACAAUUCCUACCCU